AGAAUCAACGCUGGCGGCGUGCCUAACACAUGCAAGUCGAACGAGAAAGUGGAGCAAUCCAUGAGUAAAGUGGCGCACGGGUGAGUAACACGUGACUAACCUACCCUGGAGUGGGGGAUAACUGAGGGAAACCUUAGCUAAUACCGCAUAACACCUACGGGUCAAAGGAGCAAUUCGCUUCAGGAGGGGGUCGCGGCCGAUUAGUUAGUUGGCGGGGUAAUGGCCCACCAAGACGAUGAUCGGUA
rnacentral:rRNA from 1 species